rnacentral:rRNA from 1 species
GACGAACCGUGCGAACGUUGUUCGGAAUCACUGGGCUUAAAGGGCGCGUAGGCGGGCUGCCGCGUCCGGGGUGAAAUCCUCCCGCUCAACGGGAGAACGGCCUCGGAUACGGGCGGCCUCGAGGGGGGUAGGGGCAUCUGGAACUGUGAGUGGAGCGGUGAAAUGCGUUGAUAUUCACAGGAACUCCGGUGGCGAAGGCGAGGUGCUGGACCCCAUCUGACGCUGAGGUGCGAAAGCGUGGGGAGCAAACAGG